rfam:Streptomyces sp. Ncost-T6T-2b genome assembly, contig: Ga0115255_11923
CUGGUCGAUCAGGGUGGGCGAGAUGAAGUGGACGUGGGCGUCGACCGCCCCGGCCGUGAGCAGUUUUGCGUUGCCCGCGAUGAUCUCGGUCUCCGGGCCGAUCACCAGGUCGGGGUGGACGCCGUCCAUGGUGUCCGGGUUCCCGGCCUUGCCGAUGCCGGUGAUCCGGCCGUCCCGGAUGCCGAUGUCGGCCUUGACGAUGCCCCAGUGGUCGAUGACGACGGCCCCGGUGAUGACGGUGUCCGGUGCGCCUUCGGCCCGGGUGGUGCGGGCCUGGCCCAUGGACUCGCGG